AGUCGCUUGUCUGCUCAGAUACUGCAACCACACAGUCGUUGCUCUCUGCGGUUAGUUCUCGACACUGUGGUGAAGCACUUGGAGCCAAGCACAAACAAGUCUGUAUUUCAAACGGCCUGGCCCCUGGUUUCUGUUGAUGCUAUAUCGAUCUGCUGCUGCCCUCCUAGGUUGGCCUCCUGGACUCAGGUCAGCUGUCCCUGUUGUGUUUCUGAGUGGAUGGAGUCCCUGGUCCUCAUCCAGCUGUCAAAGAACGUCCAACCUGUUACCAAGAGGUGGCUCAUCUCCCUGAUCGAGGCAUCCGAGCGAGACGGAGACAGCGUUUGAGGUUCUGGGCUUUGUCUCAGUCAUGUCUAACUGCUGGCUGCUGCCUCCUCGGGUUAGGCAGUUCUGUCUGGGGGGAGGGAUCAGCGGCAAGAACAUCAUACUCUUCACCAUCCUGGUCGAGAAGCUUUGAAGGCUGUGGAACCCCUGAGGGUGUUCGUGUUUCCCAUCCAGUGUUGGUCUGGAGACUCUGGACCUGGGGGCUCAUUAGAACCAGCUGCCACGACGAAGAUGGUGAUGAUCCACAGACAAGUCUGGGAGCUGAGCCAUGAGAGCCUGCUCUCCGCCCCAAGAAACUCUGUCAGUAUCUCCCUCUGGAGGACUGCUUCAGUCAUAACUAGAGUGGUCUCUCAUGUCAUGGGAGAUACUAGAGAGAAGGCCAGGGACUAAAGGGAAACGCAAAGAAGAAGAGCUAAGUUCAUUGUGUUAAUAUAGCAUUAGCAUCCUUUUUUUUUCAUGUUGCAUAUCAUUUUGUAAAAUGUUCCCACAGUGUGCUCCAUGUAAUUUCCCAUUAUCAGUGUUACAUUGUACACUUAACUUAUAAUAGGCACAUCACAAACACAACGAGAGUACUUGAUAUCACAUAAUAUCUGUGCACUUCUACUUGAAGUUGACUAUAUUUUAAACAUUUGGAUUGAUGAGCUUGUUGUUGGAAUAUUUGUAGGCCUAUCUAUUACAUAUGUAUUAUCAGUAUCUUUUAAAAAUGAAGAUUGCAGUGUUGGAUGAAUGUAGAUAGCAAGGCUGAUGGUUGUACUUGAUUUAGUAUAGUUUACUUUGCCAUCAAAAUUAUUUGUACAGUAUGCUCUUGUCAAAAUGUACUGAAAUCCACUUGGACUUUCAUCUGACCUGCUAAAAAAAAGACAAUGUUCCAUGGCCGUUUCAGAGGAGUAAUUAUACAUUGGUUUAUCCUUACUAUAGUACAUAUACCCCAUUAAAUCACAUCACACACCAUA